UACGAAGGGGGCUAGCGUUGUUCGGAAUUACUGGGCGUAAAGGGCGUGUAGGCGGUCAGGUAAGUGGAAUGUGAAAUCCCUCGGCUCACCCGAGGACCUGCAUCCCAAACUGCCUGGCUUGAGUAUGGGAGAGGAUGAGGGAAUUCCUGGUGUAGCGGUGAAAUGCGUAGAUAUCAGGAGGAACACCGGUGGCGAAGGCGCUCAUCUGGCCCAAUACUGACGCUGAAGCGCGAAAGCUAGGGGAGCAAACGGG
rnacentral:rRNA from 1 species